rnacentral:lncRNA from 1 species
AUGAUGUCAAUGAUGUACGCUUUAUAGGGAUAACGGGGAUGGGUGGCAUAGGUAAGACAACCCUUGCUAAGCUUGUUUAUGAUAGAAUCUUUCAUCAUUUUGAAGUUCACUGCUUUCUCGGCAACCUUAGAGAGGUUUCUAAUGUUGAUCUUCAAAAAAGACUUCUUUUCCCGGUGUUGAGGGAAAAGAUUGAAGAAAUUUGGGAUGAAGAGCGCGGAAUCAUUUUCACUAAGAAGUGCUUGCGCAACAAAAAAGUUCUUCUUGUACUUGAUGAUGUGGAUCACAUAAACCAGCUACAAGUACUAGCUGGAAAGGAAGAUUGGUUUGGCAUGGGAAGUAGAAUUAUCAUUACAACUAGAAAUGAACGUCUGCUAGUCCAGCAUGACAUAACAUUAUGUCAUAAUGUCAAAGUGUUAGAUAAAGGCGCAGCUCUUGCACUGUUUAGCCUUCAUGCCUUUAAGAAAAAUCUGCCUAAGGAUGGGUUUUGGGAACUGUCAACGUAUUUCAUUAAUUAUGCUGGAGGCCUUCCAUUAGCUCUUGAAACCUUGGGGUUAGCAUUGUUUAAGAGAAGGCUAGAUACUUGGAAUAGUGUGUGGGAUAAUCUGUCAAAAAUUCCUAAUCCAGCAAUUUUUGAUAAACUUAAAAUAAGUUAUGAUGGACUAGAAGAGUGGGAGAAGAGAAUUUUUCUCGACGUUGCAUGUUUCCACAAAGGGAAGUACACGAAUGAAGUAAUUAAAAUGCUAGAUAAUUCUUUUGGAAUCUCUAGUAGUAGUAUGAUAGAUGUACUAAUUGAGAGAUCUCUCAUCUAUCAAGAUCAUGAAAAAUGCAUACGAAUGCAUGAUUUGAUUCAAGAAAUGGCAUGGACAGUUAUUGUUCAAGAGUCUAAAGAGCCUGGUCAACGUAGUAGGUUGUGGCUUUACAAUGACAUUGAUCAUAUAUUUACGACGAAUACGGUAAGAAGUUAAAUACUAAGUUUGGAAGAAGAUAUGAUUUCUUUUGACACUAUAUUAUUAUAUGAAAUUAAUUCGUCCUUUUUUCCUUUAAAUGUUAGGGAACAGGAGCAAUUGAAGCCAUAUCCUUACGCCUGCUCAAAGUAGAAGAGGUACGCCAGUGGAAUUGCGAAGCCUUCUCAAAGAUGGAUGGACUGAGGUUUUUGGAAUUCGAUAAUUUGAUAUUUUCUUCAGGCCCCAAAUUUCUUCCAUGUUCCUUGAGAAUUAUAAAUUGGAGUUGGUAUCCUUCUAAUUUUCUUCCAACCAACUUUCGCCCGCACUUGCUUGCUAAACUUGAGAUGCGUAAUAGCAAUCUUGUUCGUCUAUGGGAGGGAAAAAUGGUAAGAGUAGUUAUGAACAAAAGAUAAUAUUGGUUACUCACUAGUCAAUACUCACUUUUUGAUUUUGUCAAAUGAUAUUUUAACACAUAUAUUAUUUUAAAAAAUAAUAGACGUGUUAUUUAAUUUUUCUGGAGUUUUAAAAUUAAGGAACGCUUGAUAUUUUUUUAUUGUACAAUUCCGAAGGUUCCAAAUUUCUUCCAUAUUCAUUGAGAAUAAAUGCUAUUUAAUUUACAAAAUAAUCAUAUAUUUAUUUAUUAUUUUGAAUAAACUUUAAGGUUGUGGAAGCUAAGUAUAUGAUCUGAACCUUGUCGGUGAUGUUGUGCAGGACUUACCCAACUUAAAACAUAUUGAUAUUAGCAAUUCCUAUAAAUUGAAGAGUAUCUCAGAUUUCAGUGGUAUUCCAAAUCUUGAGAGGUUGAUCCUUCGGGAUUGUAAAAAUUUAGUUGAGAUACACCCGUCUAUUGCAAUCCUCAAAAGACUUAAACAUUUGCUUCUUAAUGGCUGUGAAAGCAUUAAUAGCCUUCCAAGUGAGGUUGAAAUGGAUUCUCUUGAGACUUUCGAUCUUGAUGGCUGCUCAAAUGUGAAAAAGAUUCCAGAAUUUGGGGAGCAGAUGAAGAAUGUAUUGCGGAUUCACUUAGAUGGGACUGCGAUUGAGAAAAUACCUUCAUCAAUUGGACAUCUGGUUGGCCUCAAGGAAUUGCAUGUAAGGAAUUGCAAAAAUCUCUUGAACCUUCCAAGGGCGAUUUGUAAUUUGAAGUCUCUUAGAUAUCUCAGUGCGAGUGGAUGCUCAAAGAUUGACCAACUCCCAGGAGACAUGGAUCACUUAGAGGCGCUUUGCUGGGGACCCACUAUGACAGAGCCGCUUGUGAGCAUGAAAAAUCUCAAACGUCUAGUAUUUAAGACAAAUUCUGACAUAGCCGCUUGUGGAUCGGAUGGUAAAGCAAGGGAUGGGUGGGGCCUUCGCCGCUUAUUUGGACUUGAAAAGAGUCACCCUGAUCCUCCUCCUUGUUGGCGUUUGGUGUUGUCUUCUCUAAGUCAUUUAUGCUCUUUGACAGAGUUAUCUCUAGAGAAUUGUAAUCUCCGGGAGGGGGAUAUCCCCGAUGAUAUUGGCUGCUUGUCCUUACUGGGAGUAUUGUAUCUUAGUAGAAAUAAUUUCGUCAGUCUACCUGAAAGCUUUAGACGCCUUUCUAAACUUUUCAGUCUUGAUCUGGAGGGGUGUAUAAGCCUUCAAAAAUUGCCUCCUCUUCCAUCAAACAGAGGACUAAGAGUAAAUCUGGACAAUUGCACUUCCUUACGAAGGUUGUCAGGUCCAUCCAGUUUUUAUGGUGAUUAUGUCACUUGCCGGAAUUGCAUUGCAUUGGUUCAAGAUGAAGACUUGAUUAAUAGGAUUCUAAUAUUUGUCAUUGAGGUACUCUCUCUCUCUCUCUCUCUCUCUCUCUCUCUCUCUCUCUCUCUCUCUCUCUCUCUCUCUCUCUCUCUCUCUCUCUCUCUCUCUCUCUCUCUCUCUCUCUCUAUUAAUAGGAUUCUAAUAUUUGUCAUUCAGGUACUCUCUCUCUCUCUAAAUAAUUGAUCUUUCUUCUGCUACAGGGAUUGAAAGUUGUAAUCCCUGGAAGUGAAAUUCCAGAGUGGUUCAGUAAUCAAAGUGUGGGACAUUCAAUAAAUGUGGAGCUUCCUCCACCAUCAUGUACCAACUGGCUUGGGAUUGCCUUCUGUGUUGUUUUUCAAGACCCUAAGCAAAACUUGGCAAAUCCAGCUGCCCUUUGUCAUUAUGAUAGAUUCGAAAUUUGGUAUUCAGAUGCACAUUUUAGCCAUAGAGUUUUGAUCAACCGCAUAGGGUCUGUUGCGUCAGAACACCUGUGGGUAUUUUAUCUGCGUCGUUAUAGAAAUCAACGUCGUGAAGAUUGUCUUCAGGAACAGUGUUUAUUCGAAACUUAUUUUUUUGAUAUCGAGGGACAACUAAAGGCAGACUUGAAUAUGGUGAAGAAGUGUGGGGCUCGUUUGGUGUACGAGCAAGAUUUGAAAGAACUCAACCAAAAACUACUGAAACGAACACGCGAAUAUCGUGACAAGGCAGCUCCAAGUGGACCUGGAAGUGUUAGCUUCAACGACACAGAAAAAAUUUGCAAAAGGCGUUGUAACUAGUCACCAUGUCACAAAAAAUGCAAGUAACCAUCGAUUUAUCACAUUAGCUUAAUUGUCAUCAAAAUUAUUUUUUGUUUCGACAUCUUAGUUAAUGUAAUCAAUCUCUCGAGCUAUAUAUUAAGAUGGCUAUAUUUACUGAAAUGCAGAGUGGAUAAGAAUGUUGAUGUAUAAACACUUUUGCAGAUUACUUGGGCAUUAAGAAGAUUGAUUAACAAUCUGAUCAUCUUGCCCAAUGCAGCAAGUGGGUACCUUGGAAACGCGCUACGCCAUGGGGGCUGCUCUGUCAGUCCUGAUCUUAAGGUUCAUUUUCUGAUGAAGCCAUUAGCGUUAACAUGUACACCAAGGGUUGAAUUCAAAUUUCUGUACUCUGGCAGAAAUUGAUUUGUUUCUGUCUGAUUUUGUAACUAAUGCAAACUUGUAGUCCAGAAACAGAAACGUUGCUAAGGAAACAACACUUUUUGCUCAACAACUUUGGUUUGAUUAAAACUUGGCUUUGGUGAUGCAAAAAAUAAGCAUUGAGAGUAUUUUUCCUGAGAUCAUUGGAAAGGUUGUUGUAAAACUUAGAACAGAAAAUCAUACUAAUUUUUUUAAAACCCUUUUUACACGGUAGUUUUGAAGUUUAAACUUUAAAACAGCAAAUCAUAAUCAAAGUAUACACAGAAGCCUCCACGAUAUUAAGUUUUCACCCAAGUAUACACAGAAGCCUCCAGUUGAAUGGCGUGUGUCUAGGUUCUCUACAUAAUCACAAUCAAAGCGAAAAAAAUUCACAAAUGACUAGCAAAGAGAGGAAAACUUCCAGGAGUAGUCUGAAAAUAGUUUUCUUCUUUUCCGUUAACAAGUCCGAACAUACUUUUAUUUGCAAAGCAGAUAUGUCAAAACUGGAACAAUAGAUGAAAAUAAGGGCAAUGAAGGAAAACAUUCAACACAGGAAAAGACCAAAAUCUAAGAAUGAAGUAACUUAAAAUUGCCAUAAAUUACAAAGAAAAGUAUAACACUAAAGAGCUACAUUAGAUAUGUUAUAUAAAUUUUGGAUGGAUCAGGCAUUCUCUGUAUCCUUGAAUACUUCUCAGGUGUUCUGCUGCUUGCUUUUAUAUUGCCAUUCACAAUAUGGAAAGCAAGGAAUUAAAUCACGUGUGCUGUUGUGCAAAAAUUAAGGCAAGGCAAACUAUGGAUUGACAAUUAGUGGUUUUAUAUUACCAUUCACAAUAUGAACAGCCAGUACCAUGCAAAGUUCCGUCCCCACCCCCCUAAGGUCCAUUGGACAAAUGGCUACACCAAGGGCGUAACCGUAUCCCCAUAUAUACUUGGCUAAAGAAUAUGGUUUUAUAUUUAAAGGUUGCAAACACCCGCCCUAACUGAUGCCUGACCUCAUUAGCAGUAGGCCAUUUGUUAUCACUAACCUCCAAUGUCAAUUCAAAACAGCCACCAUUUUUGUAGUUCCAAUCUUGCAUGCCUCCAUUUAUAGGGUACCUACAACAGGUGUCUUAAGAAACAAUAGAUGAAUAUCAAACAGAAGGAAAAUAUACCUAUAAUAAGUUGUAAUGUUUCAAGCCAUCAUACUAGAAAGCUCGAUUCGUAAUCCCUCCCUCAAAUUCCUUGCGCAAUGACAUAUUGUAGUGAGAGCAAAAGACAAGAGCAUAUGUGCAAAAUAAAAAUUAAUAAGCGUUAGCAUAAAUUCUGGGAUAUUGUUAUUUAGAACUUACACAUAUUGUUAGGCACCAUCCGAAAAUCUAUAAUCAUAUUAGAAGUAAUCGGCAAUGUUCAUAACAUUACAGUAACACACUUUAAGACGUACUAUUGACAUCACCAUGCUUGUUUCACACUAUAAAAGAAACAUUUAAAAACCUGAACACAUUGGGCAUCAUAGGUAAAAUUAAAUAAUGAUCAAAACCUACACUCUCACUGAGGCCAACGUACAAAAGAAACAUUCAACUCUCUUGCAAAAUUCUCUGAAAGAAACAUUGGGCAUCAUAGGUAUAAAUGAAACAUUCAACUCUCUUGCAAAAUUCUCUAAAUUCUCCAAGCACUUUUCCCUCAAAAUUCUAACUUUGGCAUCAGAGGCUCUUCGGCCAAACCCCCCCCUAACUUCAUCGUGAACGCAUAAGGCUAUUGGCCUUGACCUAAGAUGUUAUUUGUUUUGUAGGUACAAUUUUGUCCAAGAACAAGGAGGAAGAAAUUUGCAUCCACAAAUUGGUGCUUUAAUUGAGAGCUGAGUCACACACUCGUAGAAGACUCUCGCAUCUAAGGUUUUUUGUUUUCUUGUUCAUUUGUAGAUUUUUCGUACAUUCUUAUUCUUAGAAUUUUUAUUUCUAAAGAUUCUUUGGUAAAACGUAAAAGAAAAGUACAAUGGCAAGGGACUCGGAAACCUCGAAGAACGAAACUUUCUAUGUUCAAAGAUCUGGAUCAAAUGAUGGAGGACGAGAUGUAAACCCACCACGACGAUCCACAAGGCACCCAGCAUAUUUUAAAAAAAAUGCUCAAACUAUCACUUGAAAUUGCAUGAACGAGUAACAAUCGAUUUACAUUCUGGGGAAUGGAAAAGGAACAAAAUAAAGUUUUCAAGUAGCACACAGAAUACAAAAAUACUACACUGUCAGUGUAUGUACACACUCAAUAAAUUGAAAUCGGCGUAGUAUGCAAAACUUUUUCGACAAAAAGUGAAAUUCAUGACUUCAGUUUUCGACAGUAAACGCGAAAUAUGGCAGGUGGAAAAUGAAAGACUAACAAUAAAACAAAAUAUUAAUAAUAUAUUAUUAGUUGCAGUCGAAUUCAGAAACAAUGAACUUUUUAAGGAAGAAGAGGGAAAUGAAAAUAUCCAAUUGCACGUGAUUUUUCGGCAUGUACUUAUAAAUUAUAAUCUUUGUCAUAUUACAGCUUCUCAGUUUCAUUAUAUAUUUCUUGUGGUCAUAAGUGGCUCGUAGCAAUUUCCCUUAUUUCUUUCCACACAAGAUCAGAGAAAAAGUAACAAAAAAUUGUGACUAAAACUGCCCUCAAAACACAUACAAUUGAUAGAGUCUGUCCUUUCUCAGGGACAAGUAACAUAAUUGAACUAGCGGAAUGAAUAAAACUUUUCUAAAGAGUGAAGAUGGAUAUUCUCCAACACCAGAAUCAACUCAAUUCGGUGGUAAACAGGUAUUGCACCCUUCUGGAUUCAAAGGUGCAAUAAGCUAGAAGCUAUAUCGCACUUUUUUAACUUCCACUAAUAAGCAAUCAAUGUAAUUAAGUUUCUGACCCUUAUACUGCGUUAUUGUUGCAAAAAGAUUUCAGCUACUGGUGCCUGAAUCCUUAUUACACAGCUCUAUGGUAAGUUUCAAGCAGCUGCAAGGACUAAUUUGUGCUAAUCUUGAAGGAAUCAAAGCAGGUUCCUGUUCUUUUGAAUCAUAACUUUUUCUGGGUUAUGGAACAAAUAUAAUUUCUACGUUAUUAUUAUUUACAGAAGGGAGGGGGGACGCUAACGCAUUUUCCUUCAAAAAUCCUGCCAUGUUUCAAAAAAUUGAUUGUAUACAGGAAGGAUUAAAAUUUCAGGAUUCAAAAGUUUCUACCAAAUGGCGGCUUGGAUAUAAUUUGGAUAAAUUAAUAUUAAAAAAUAAGAUUGUUUUGUUUAUGCUUUUGUAUGUAACAGAACAUUCACCUUAAAUGCAGCUUCAGGCUCUUCCACCCCGGGCUUAGCAGAAAUUGCUACUACCCACUACAAGCAAUAAUACAUCAAACAUUACCAACUUCAUAAGAUGUGUGUCAAGAUGUUAUUCUAAUAAAUAAAACUCUUCCCAAUACUGAUAAUCCAUUCGAGAAAUCCCUCAACAGGAGAAUAAAAAGAAUAAAUCAGCAUAAUCAUCAUGAGAUGCCUAAACAAAAUCCUACAAUUAAAACCUGUAUUUAUCCAGCUAAAACUACCACUAACAAAUAUGAUUGUUUUAUUUCGACUAACAAGUGGUAAAAUUAUAAUCUGGCAAAUGUUAAAAAUGCACAAGCCCAAGUAAUCACCUGUAAGCCGUAGAAAUGUUACUGCAUCUUUGGCCGAACGCCUUAAUGGCCUGUCCCAGGUCAGAGUUAGUCAUGUACCCCUGAGCUACAUCAACACUGUGUCACCAAUUUUUUUCACAUUUUCAGUAAACACAUAAUUAUAUCAAAUUAGACUAUAUAAUUCUUGUUAAGCUGCUAAGCUUCAACUUUAGUGAUAAAUACCGCGUCUGAGACUCCUUAUCUUCAAACAAUUGCCUGCCGGAACCAGCGCGAGGACCAAAUUCGAAACCUAUCAACAUUUAAUUUACAAUUAGCUAAAUUCUUAAUGCUUAAAGAUUUAGUUUCCUUUUCUAGUAGCGCUAAUCCACCUAAAAUGUAAAGAAUUUAAGGAAGCAAUAGGCAUGAUAAUCUAUCUGAUCAUAAUUAACUACCGUUUGGUAGCUGAAAUAUCAAAGGAAAAUUUUUCAAUUUACUUCUUGUUCUUGUAAUCUCAGUUUUUCAACUCCCAAAGAACUAAACGCACACACAUGAAUAUAGAAUGUAUUCAAAUAUGUAUGUGUGUGUGUGUGUGUGUGUGUGUGUGUGUGUGUAUGACAGAUGAGGAGACGGGGACCUGGAGGGUAGGAACUGUGAAGGCCGCCUCUAGCGGUGGCAGGACGAAGAAAAGAGGAGAAGCCUGAGAGAGAGGAAGAGGAUGGAAAGAGCAAGCUUCAUGAUGUGAUCUUUGGAUUGACGAUGGUGGCGAUGGAGCUCCAGAAUCGGAUUCAGGAAGCCAAGGAGUAAAAGAAGAUGAAAACGUAACGACGAAGAUUGGAGACGCGGGAUCUCGCGGGAAAAUGGGCUGCAAAUUCCGUUGGAAGCGAAGUAACGGGGACUUGGAGUUCGAGAUAUGGGUUGCAAAUGGAUCUCGGCCCAUUUUUCAAACAGCCCGAACCAAACUAAAUUCUAUAGGUUGAUUUUUAUUUUAUUUUUUAAUAAACAACAAUAUUUUACAUUAUAGGGCUUGAGUUAAAUAAAAGAUAAAUAUCACUAACUAUAUUGGUUUGGUAUUGAAAAAAUUGAUUUUGGAAGUAGUUGUCUAUUUCGAAUGUAAUUAUGUAAAUUUUCUCUUGUAUUUACUAAUUCGUAAGGAAUUGAAAAAAUGUUAACUUUCUUUAAUAUUUGUUAUCAAAUAUCAAAAUAUCAGGAAGCAUAUCGACUAGGACGGCUAGUUGAGCCGAUUCCCUUCUCUUACAUUUUCAUACUUCUAAGUUCUCUCAUUCCUUCAUUUUCUUAUUCCUAAUAAGUAAACAUUGAAUUAAUUGAUAUGGAUCCAAUGUUUUAAUGUUUUAAUGUUUCAAAUACUACUUAGGAUUCAGAUUUCAUACAAAAAUCGAAAACCCUUAUCAAUUGCAUCUGACUGGGAACAAAUUUGGUGAGCCCUUGAGUCAGGGCUACACUAGAUUAAAAUAGGGCUGGUUAAAAAAUUCGAAAAUCGAAAAAAACCGAAUCGAUACAAAACCGAACUAAAUAGAAAUUGGUUAGUUUGGUUUUAGCUUUAUGGUUCAAAAACCGAACCGAACUAAAGUACCACUUCAAACGAUGUAGUUUUUGUAAUUUUGUCUUUUACAGGAGGACAAUGCAGUAACACUCAAAACGAUGUAGUUGUUGUGUAUAUAUACACUUGUAUAAACAAAUUGUUGUGCUUUUAUAUAGAUACAUUAUCAUUAACAUAAUUCACUCAAUACAAAUAUAUCAAAGAUCAUAUUGUGGCUCAUACUUUUCAUCGUACAUACCGUCACUGUAUUAUUUAUUAACGGGUGUCUGAUUGAGUUUGAGAAAAUUAUCACAUUAACAAAGUGAUGUCUUUAAUUUAUUUAUGUGUUGUGAUUGACAGUAAAGAAGAGUUCUUUUGUAGAACCAUAUGAUCCAAUUAUUUUUCUGCCUAUUAUGGGCAGAAACGGGUAAUUGAUCAUUUUAGCCUCAAUUGUUUUGGUAGAGUUUAAUUGAUAUUGUUGUAGUCAGUGUCUUUGGAGAAACAUGUUUCAUGCACUGCAGACUGGUUCCUAAAGGGUGCGUUUGGUACGUGGGACGGGACGGGACGGAACGGGACGAGGCGUUCCGUCCCGCGUUUGGUGCGCCAAAAAUGGGUGGAACGGGCUGUUCCACGGGACAGAUUUUGAGUGUUUUUGCGUUCCACCUCCCCCCCUGGAACGGGUUUGUUCCACGUUUGUGGAACACAAUGUUUUACCAUUUUAAGACAAAUAUACCCCAUGUCUUUUUCAAAAAUUACACCUUCGUUCCGUCCCGUCCCGUCCCGUCCCGUUCCGUUCCGUUCUGUCUGCGUACCAAACGCACCCAAAAUGAUGAGAAAAGUUUUAUAGUGGGUGACAUAAUUAUCUUCCUCUUGAAAAAAACAGAGACAUGAAAUCCUUUCUCAGAAGAAAGAUAACAUGUCCCAACAAGGAAUGGAAAUAUGCCAUGGUCGGUCUGCCACUUUUUUGGUGGAAAAUAAUUGUCCUUCAACUUCGGUUUUUCUCUUGAACGAGUAUUGGGAAGUGGACAGCUCUUGUAUGGAGAUUUCCCUGUUGCUUCUUUCAGACGGAUUUACCUUGCACCAAAACGUUAGGUGUGACUCAAAUUUACCUCCGUGUUUUAACAUUGUGACAUGAUAACACGUAAUAGAUUAAUUACACCAUUGUCUUAAUGCUCACAUUUCACAUAAAGAAAAAAGAUUGAGUGACGUUUAACCAUAACUUCUCUUUCUUUUUUUGGACCAUUACCAAUUGUUUUUUAUACGAAAUUUUUACGAUACUUGAGAAUAUGAGAUACGCUGAAUAUUUUAACAAUUGAAUCUUUGUUUAGAAAUACAAAUACCAAAAUAUAACAGAUAUAACACCCUACAAACCACCCUAAAUUUUUUAUUCUUUUACUCUUAGUUUAGGUCAUCCAAACGAAAAAGGAUCCCUCUAGAUCCAUUACGUGGGGAUCUCAGGAAUCUUCAUAAUUCAGCUAUUCAUAGUAUAUUGUAUAGUAAAAAAUUAUUUAAUUUUUAUUAUUUUAAAUUAAACUUAAAUAACAUCGGAUGAAAAAUGAUCGUAAGAUAAACGAUAAUGAUUGAAAUGUGAGAAUAAUAGAUCCGGAAAUCCUUUUCCCAUCCUAACAAUCAUAUUAACUUUUUUUGUUUUUUGUUAUAAAAAUAAUUCAUUAGCUGACACUAUGACCCACCCUAGACUGUCUGGUCACCACCAUCACCACUACUACCAACAGAUGAACUCGGGCUGUCCAAGUGUCCAUCUUUGUCUGUUUUUUAGGAACCGAAAGGCAUAGGCUGCCAUUCUUUGUCUCUGUGCUGAAUCUGCUGAUGGGAACCAAAAGAAAACCAUCCACUGCCUUGUACAUUGGUAACAAACGAAUUAACGGACAAUUAAAGAGACAUGAAAAUAUAUUAUACAGAUGUGCUAUCCAUACACAUUUUUUUACUUUUUUCGCAUUUUUUAUUAAUUUAUGUCAUUGAUCUUCUUUAAUUCAUCUAAUCCGACGAUCGAAAAUUAAAAAGAUACGAGAGAAAUAAAAAAAGAUGUGUGAAUAUCACAUCCAAAAGCCUCGGCAUUGAUCUGCUAUCUUUUUACUUGUUCAUUCAAUUAUUGUUUCAUGUUUGCAGUACCUGUUUACAUCAACUACCUUUUUUCGAUGGCAUUAAGCACCCAAAGAGCCUCGACAUCCUGUGUUUUGAAUGAAUCAGCUCCUCGAUGGAAGUAUGAUGUGCUUUUGAGUUUCAGGGGUGUAGACACCCGCAAGGGUUUUGUAUCCCAUUUAUACCAUGAAUUGUGCAAUUGCCAAGGAAUUACGACUUUCAUGGACGAUCGAGAGCUUGAAGGAGGAACAAGUAUUCCUUCUGAAAGUUCUAGGAUGGGUACUAGUUUAACCUAGAGGGGGUGAAUAGGUUCCAAUUUAAAAAUCCAAUUCAAUUUUCAAUUUAAUUUUCAGUUCUCAAAUUAAAUCCAUAUUCAUAUCACAUAUCAAACUAUCAUACUCAUAUGAAAUUAAAACGAUAAAUAAAAAGUACACACAUGAUGUAGGAUUUUACGAGGCAAAACCCACCACUAGGAAAAUCCUCGGGCUACCAAGCCAGGAAGCACUAAGAAAGAAAGAAUACAUAAAGACUUACAAAACUCAUCAACUAGACACUCAUACCAGUUGGCAGCUUUGUCUCCGCGCUUUGCUACUCGAUCUUUCUUCAGUCUUCGAGUUGAAGUGGCACGACACUAACGCAGCCGUCAAUCACCUUUCCCUCGAACUUUGCAGGAUGCUAACUCGAUCAUGCAGAAUGUUUAUAUGAUGAAGUGUUUGUUUGAAAAACAAUCAAUUACGAAAAUCACAAGGCACAUUUCCAUAAUUGACAUUCAAUAAAAAACCAAAUGAAAAUCAGCAUGAAAAUAAUAUUUUUCUCUUUAAAAACACAUGCUAUUGAAACCACAAGACAGCAGCAAUAUCAAAAAUAUUUUUUUUCCUUAUUCCCAAAAACGCCAAGCUGCUGCCUAUCUUUUGUUUGUCAAAGAACGCCCAAAUAUAUGCAUGUGUGGCUGCCUUUUAAACAAAACAAAACCCUAACCUCCUGUAUACCUCACGGCACCUCACCAAUUAAAUUGAUAAGGAUGGAAAACCAUUUAGAUAACUCCCAUGCAAUCAGAUUAUUUUGAAAUCAUGUUUUAAUAAUUAAUGUAGAAAGGAUAAGUCAUUCUAAAGAGAUAAAACCCACAAAGGGUAAGAGUCCUAACCCAAAUACAAUAACAUGAGAUAUCAGAUGAAUGUAGUUGGAUGCAUGCAUGCAAACGUACCUGGAUGAGUAUCGUGUUUUAGUAACAUCUUCGCAUUGAAAGUGUGAGAAACCUCCCUAGACUAAAACUAUUACAAUUGUAAAUAUGUAACAAGUCUAAGCUAUUACAGACUCAGGCAUUUUGUCAGGGAUUGCCAAUAUUACCCUAACAAUCUCCCCCUUUGGCAUUUCCUAGACAAAAUCCUCUAUCACAGUAUUACAGACAACUAAUAAACUUAACGACCAUGCAUAACAUUGAAGUCUGUAACCUGCACACACUCAAACAAGAAAACCUGUGACGUACAAAAGAUAUAUGCUGCUGUAAAUGAAAGCAUUUAUCUAUAAUAGCAAGCAACCAAAAACAACUAGGCUUUCGAAAUUCUACUUCUCCCCCUAAAUAUAGGCUUCCUACUUCUCCCCCUUUUUGUCUAGAAAGGUCAAAGGCCUUAGAGUUAACCAUCAGGUGCAGUCAGCGGAAGAUAAGUGGAACAAAACAAAAUGUGAUAAAAUAAAAGUGGGGACGAAAUUGGGAGGAAAAGAAUAUCAAAGUAAUGAUCAAAAGAAUAAACAUGGAAAGAAACGAACAUCUUUCAUAUUGUUAAGCUCCCCCUAAACAAAUGCUUUAAAAAAUAUAAUGAAAUGCAGCACGCAAAUGAUAUGAUAUAUAUAUAUAUAUAUAUAUAUAUAUAUAUGUAUAUAUAUAUAUAUAUAUUUUUUUUUUAAUUUUUUUUUUUAUUUUUAUGAGAAGCAUAUAAUUGUUCCAACAAGAAUGAAAGAGUGCAAAGACACAUGUAGUUAUGAAUCCUCAUUCACAAGCUAACAUUGUCCCUAAAAUAUAACAUGUAUGAGUGUAGUUGCAAGUAUAGCCGAAAGUUGAUACUACACAAAUGUAAUUAAGUCUUACAGGACCAACUUAACUUUAACCCUUAAGCUCACAAGAUAUACGCUCGAAUUUUCAUUCAAAGUGUUUGGGGGUAAGUGUAUACGCUCAAAAGAUCAUUACAUGAAUGUUCUACCAUAGGCUUGCAGAUUGAUCUCAUCUCCACACAUCAAAAAUUACCUUCUUUGGAUCAAGUAGGUCUUUGUGAAGGGUUGUAAUGCGGCUUCAGGUACUCGGUUAAAGAAAUGAAGGAUAUAGGAAACACAAAGUCUAAGAAACUAAUAGAGUAGUUGGAAAUGAAACCAAGAGAGAAAUAUAACAACGAACCAGGUAACUUAGCACUCAAUUGAGCGGUUGGAUUUAAGACAUGAACGACAUACAACCGCACAAUUCAUUUCAGAUGAUUCUUGCUCUUCAUUUAGACCAACACACUUGAUUUCUUAUAAUGCUGGCAGCUCACUUAUGAUUCAUAGUGACUUAUUUUCCUCUUUUCUUCUUUUGCUUUUCAUGUGUUGUUGGCUUUCUUCACAAAAAUUUUGCAUCUUCAACUUUUAAAAUAACAUUGAACUCUCUCCUUUGAAAAACGUACUCUACUAGCUUCUUAGUAGGGUAGGGAAUUUUUAAUGUAAGAGGCUAGGUAAGGAAAAUGUAGGUUUAAGAACAAAAGGCUUACAUAUAGGCUCAAAAGGGUUAACUGGGGGAAAACAUAUAAGGCACUGGCAUAUAUGGCAAUGAUGGUAAGUCCUAAUGCCUACUAUCGUCUCCAAAAUAGAAUAAUAUGUGAUACAAAGUUUUGAGAGGUCUCAAAGCAAGUUCUAGAGAAGCAAAACACAUAAGAUCACACACAUGAAAAAAAUAAGAGUGUAUGAAAAAUGCACACACUAUAUUUUAGGCACAAAAGCUCACAUGGGUGCGGGUUUUACUCAAGUUAAACAUGUUCAACUCAUUAACAUUGAUAUAUUAUCAACAAUAGGCUAUUGUCCACAACAGAGUCAAACAUAUCAUGCUAGGGUCAUGUUAUCAAGUGAACAAAGCUAGAAUUCAUAUGAAAUCAUACUUUUCCAUUUUUUCCUCAUACAUUUUUAAAAAUUUUUAUUUUUAUUUUUAUUUUUUAUUUUUAACAAGAAGAAGGACAAAAAAUGCAGUAUUUAUGCUAUAUGAACAUGCAAGCAUGCAUUAAUGAAAACAUUUGCAAAGAGAGAGCUUAGUCAAUAUAAACAACUUGAAAGUGGAGAUAAAUUGACAAGUACACCACUUUGAUUCUCUUUUCUUCUCCAAACUUGUCUUACUUUUGGAACUACCGUACUUGGAAUAGAUAUAAUUCUUGCAAUCCGAUUAAUCUCUUUCAAAUAAGUCACAAAUUGUUCCUUAAGAUUUUCUUUUUCAAAGUUCCUUGAAACUUUUUCUUGAGAAGAAUUUUUCUUUCUAAGCUUAUUGCACUUAGGCCGGAUGUGACCAGGGAUCCCACAAAAAUGACAUAUAGGAAUGAACUUCCUAGAUUGUUUGGGUUUAUUAGGAUUAAUUGAAGUCUUGGUAGGAUUUGACACAUUUGCAAAGAUUGUAGAUGUUUCAGAAGUAAGACCUACACCUUGAUCAGCACCUACUCUUGAGCUAGGAAUAUCAGAUGCUUUGACAAAUCUUGUGAUGGAAGAAGAACUAAUAGUCUUUUCAGACUCAAAUCCUAGACCUCUUUUAUCUCCAAAAUUCUUUCCAUAGCUAAGCAUCUUGUCAAUUUUUCCCGAACCUAUGCUUAAUUCCUGAACUUUGUUUUUCAUCUCAACCAAUUCAUCCUCAAGAGCUUUCUUAUUAGACGUGAGAGUGCUUAUUGUGGUUUGAAGAAUAUGUAUCUUCUCUAACAAUGACUCUCGCAGUUUCUCUCCAUUGUCCAACUGAGAUUGAUGCUCAACUUCAGCUUCUUUCUUUUCACUUUCUACAAGUGCAAGUUUCUUCUUCAAGUUAGAGUUAUCCUUCUUUACUUGCACACUGAUGUCAUAGAGAUCAGAAUAUUUUCUCAAGACUUCUUCCAAGUCAGGUUCUUCAACAAAUGAACCUUCUGUGUCAUAUCCAUCAACAGUUCCUAUAAACGCAAUCGUAUCCUUCUCAGAUUCCGACGUAGAUGCCUCCCCUGAAUCACUAUCGCUCCAAGUGACCUUCAUUGCCCUAUUCUUCUUCUCUUUUCUCUUGAUAGUGUUUGCACACUCAGAAGCAAUGUGUCCAUAGCCUUGACACUCAUGACAUUGAACCCUAUUGUUAGAACUCCUAUGUUCACUAGUUCUAGAUGAUCUAGAGGCUUUGUCAUGUGAGACAUCUAGAGAACGAAAGUUUUUUGAGUUCGAACCUGAGUUGGUUCGUUGCUCACGACCCUUGGAUUUUUGAGACUUGAGAAACCUUCUAAUUUGCAUGGUUAAUUCAACCAAUUCAUCUUCGGACAAGUCUUCAAUUGAGCCAUCACUUUCUUCUUCUUUGACAGCUUUGAGAGCAAUGCUUUUCAUCUUCUUAGAAUCAGGAAGCUCUAACUCGUACGUUUGCAGAGACCCAAUUAAUUGCUCAAGCUUGUAGGUGUUUAGAUCUUUCGAUUCCUCAAUCGCUGUCCUCUUAGCAUGAAACCUCAUAGGAAGUGAUCUUAAGAUCUUUUUCACAAUCCUAUGCUCAGGAAUACUGUCACCAAGAUUGUGACAGCCAUUGACAAUUACGCUAAGCUUAGCAUAAAAGUCAGAGAAACUUUCAUCAUCAGACAUUGUGAUAUUUUCGAAUUUUGUGAUGAGAUGUUGAAGUUUGGAUUCUUUAACAGUUGAGUUACCCUCAUGAGUAACUUCAAGAAUGUCCCAAGCUUCUUUUGCCGUUGUACACUUACUUAUGUAAUUGAAUUGUUCAGGCGAAACGGCUGUGAAUAAAGAAUUCAAAGCCCUUUGGUUAAAAGUGCUAGAGCUACGCUCAUCAUUGCUCCAUUCUUUCCUAGGCUUAAGCUUAGAUAUCGACACAGAGGAUUCUCCUUUAUCUUUAGUUUCUUCAAUCGUUGGAGGUUCCCAACCUUCUUCAACAGCAAGCCACACCUUGUCAUCUUGCGCCCAUAAAAACGAUUUCAUUUUUUACUUCCACGCAGCAUAGUUGUCACCAUCAAAAUGUGGUGGAUGAGAAACUGAACCCAUAGCACGAUUCAUCCUAGACUACCCACGGAUCUCACUAGGUAUUUUUAGUGACCUGCUCUGGUGCCAAUUGAAAGUUCUAGGAUGGGUACUAGUUUAACCUAGAGGGGGUGAAUAGGUUCCAAUUUAAAAAUCCAAUUCAAUUUUCAAUUUAAUUUUCAGUUCUCAAAUUAAAUCCAUAUUCAUAUCACAUAUCAAACUAUCAUACUCAUAUGGAAUUAAAACGAUAAAUAAAAAGUACACACAUGAUGUAGGAUUUUACGAGGCAAAACCCACCACUGGGAAAAUCCUCGGGCUACCAAGCCAGGAAGCACUAAGAAAGAAAGAAUACAUAAAGACUUACAAAACUCAUCAACUAGACACUCAUACCAGUUGGCAGCUUUGUCUCCGCGCUUUGCUACUCGAUCUUUCUUCAGUCUUCGAGUUGAAGUGGCACGACACUAACGCAGCCGUCAAUCACCUUUCCCUCAAACUUUGCAGGAUGCUAACUCGAUCAUGCAGAAUGUUUAUAUGAUGAAGUGUUUGUUUGAAAAACAAUCAAUUACGAAAAUCACAAGGCACAUUUCCAUAAUUGACAUUCAAUAAAAAACCAAAUGAAAAUCAGCAUGAAAAUAAUAUUUUCUCUUUAAAAACACAUGCUAUUGAAACCACAAGACAGCAGCAAUAUCAAAAAUAUUUUUUUCCUUAUUCCCAAAAACGCCAAGCUGCUGCCUAUCUUUUGUUUGUCAAAGAACGCCCAAAUAUAUGCAUGUGUGGCUGCCUUUUAAACAAAACAAAACCCUAACCUCCUGUAUACCUCACGGCACCUCACCAAUUAAAUUGAUAAGGAUGGAAAACCAUUUAGAUAACUCCCAUGCAAUCAGAUUAUUUUGAAAUCAUGUUUUAAUAAUUAAUGUAGAAAGGAUAAGUCAUUCUAAAGAGAUAAAACCCACAAAGGGUAAGAGUCCUAACCCAAAUACAAUAACAUGAGAUAUCAGAUGAAUGUAGUUGGAUGCAUGCAUGCAAACGUACCUGGAUGAGUAUCGUGUUUUAGUAACAUCUUCGCAUUGAAAGUGUGAGAAACCUCCCUAGACUAAAACUAUUACAAUUGUAAAUAUGUAACAAGUCUAAGCUAUUACAGACUCAGGCAUUUUGUCAGGGAUUGCCAAUAUUACCCUAACACCUUCUGAGCUCCCAAGAGCGAUCGAAGAAUCGCAAAUUGCAAUCGUCGUUCUCUCACCAGACUAUGCUUCUUCCAAAUGGUGCUUGAAGGAACUUACAACCAUCCUUAAGCGCAUGGAAGCCAGGAACUCUAUUCUACCGGUCUUUUAUGAGACAGAUCCAUCUGACGUUGGAAAUCAGAAGGGGUCUUUUGCCAAAGCCUUCGAUGAGCAUGAAGAAAAGUUCAUUAGUACCGAAGACAAGAUGAAGGUGACCCAGUGGAGAGAGGCUCUGAAAAAAGUAUCCAAAAUUUCUGGGUGGCAUUCUAAGGAAUCUAAGUAAGCAUGAACAACUUUAAUUUCCCAUGUCUUAGUAGAGUCAAAAUUGAAUGCUUCGUUUAUGUUUUUUUGAUUGGUUAUUUCAUACCAUGUAGGAGUGAAAGUGAGAUUAUACAACAACUCGUCAAAAGUGUGUGGAAGAAAGUGCAAGCUACAUUCCCGUUGUUAGAUCCCUCACAGGAAUUAGUUGGGGUUAAUUUUGGGCUUGAGCAACUAAGUUCGUUGUUAGCUCAUGAUGUCAAUGAUGUUCGCUUUAUAGGGAUAACGGGGAUGGGUGGCAUAGGUAAGACCACCCUUGCUAAGCUUGUGUAUGAUAGAAUCUUUCAUCAUUUUGAAGUUCCCUGCUUUCUUGGCAACAUUAGAGAGGUUUCUAACGUUGAUCUUCAAAAAAGACUUUUGCACCCUAUGUUGAAGGAAAAGAUUGAAGAAAUUUGGGAUGAAGAGCGCGGAAUC